AUUGAACGCUGGCGGCAUGCCUUACACAUGCAAGUCGAACGGCAGCACGGGUGCUUGCACCUGGUGGCGAGUGGCGAACGGGUGAGUAAUACAUCGGAACGUACCUUAUCGUGGGGGAUAACGCAGCGAAAGCUGUGCUAAUACCGCAUACGCCCUGAGGGGGAAAGCGGGGGAUCGAAAGACCUCGCGCGAUUAGAGCGGCCGAUGCCUGAUGAGCUUGGUGGUGGGGUAAAAGCCCACCAAGGCGACGAUCAGUAGCUGGUCUGAGAGGACGAUCAGCCACACUGGGACAAGGACACGGCCCAGAAUCCUCCGGGAGGCAGCAGUGGGGAAUUUUGCACAAUGGGGGCAACCCUGAGCGAGCAAUGCCGCGUGAGUGAAGAAGGCCUUCGGGUUGUAAAGCUCUUUUGUCAGGGAAGAAACACCGGAUCUAACACAGUCCGGGAAUGACGGUACCUGAAGAAUAAGCACCGGCUAACUACGUGCCAGCAGCCGCAGUAA
rnacentral:rRNA from 1 species